UCUCCGUUGGUGAACCAGCGGAGGGAUCAUUACCGAGUUAUACAACUCCCAAACCCCUGUGAACUUACCUACAACGUUGCUUCGGCGGGACACCGACGGCCCCGUAAAACGGGCCGCCCCCGCCAGAGGACCCCCUAACUCUUGUUAUUUUUUUAUGUUUCUCUGAGUACAAUAAGCAAAUAAAUUAAAACUUUCAACAACGGAUCUCUUGGCUCUGGCAUCGAUGAAGAACGCAGCGAAAUGCGAUAAGUAAUGUGAAUUGCAGAAUUCAGUGAAUCAUCGAAUCUUUGAACGCACAUUGCGCCCGCCAGUAUUCUGGCGGGCAUGCCUGUCCGAGCGUCAUUACAACCCUCAGGCCCCCGGGCCUGGUGUUGGGGAUCGGCGGAGCCCUCUGUGGCACACGCCGUCCCCCAAAUUCAGUGGCGGUCUCGCUGCAGCCUCCAUUGCGUAGUAGCUAACACCUCGCAACUGGAAGGCGGCGCGGCCACGCCGUAAAACCCCCCAACUUCUGAAUGUUGACCUCGGAUCAGGUAGGAAUACCCGCUGAACUUAA
rnacentral:rRNA from 1 species